rnacentral:tRNA from 1 species
GGGUGGCUCAGUGGUUAGAGCCUACGGCUUGUACCCGAAAGGUUCCGAUUUCGAGCCUCGCGAGAGCCA